AUUGAACGCUGGCGGCAUGCCUUACACAUGCAAGUCGAACGGCAACACGGGAGCAAUCCUGGUGGCGAGUGGCGAACGGGUGAGUAAAGUAUCGGAACGUGCCCAGUCGUGGGGGAUAACGUAGCGAAAGUUACGCUAAUACCGCAUACGAUCUAUGGAUGAAAGCGGGGGAUCGCAAGACCUCGCGCGAUUGGAGCGGCCGAUAUCAGAUUAGGUAGUUGGUGGGGUAAAGGCCCACCAAGCCGACGAUCUGUAGCUGGUCUGAGAGGACGACCAGCCACACUGGGACUGAGACACGGCCCAGACUCCUACGGGAGGCAGCAGUGGGGAAUUUUGGACAAUGGGCGAAAGCCUGAUCCAGCCAUGCCGCGUGCAGGAUGAAGGCCUUCGGGUUGUAAACUGCUUUUGUACGGAACGAAAAGGACUGCCCUAAUACGGUGGUCCCAUGACGGUACCGUAAGAAUAAGCACCGGCUAACUACGUGCCAGCCGCCGCGGUAAUAC
rnacentral:rRNA from 1 species